UACGAAGGGGGCUAGCGUUGCUCGGAAUGACUGGGCGUAAAGGGCGCGUAGGCGGAUUUGCCAGUCAGGGGUGAAAUCCCGGGGCUCAACCUCGGAACUGCCUUUGAUACUGAGGAUCUUGAGUUCGGGAGAGGUGAGUGGAACUGCGAGUGUAGAGGUGAAAUUCGUAGAUAUUCGCAAGAACACCAGUGGCGAAGGCGGCUCACUGGCCCGAGUACUGACGCUGAGGCACGAAAGCGUGG
rnacentral:rRNA from 1 species